GACACUAAUGAUGAGACUGAGUUAGGAUGCCAGAGGAGAGUUUAUGAGACAUCAAGGGAAUUGAAGCAGCACUGGCAGGGAGUGUCUCAGACUAUGAUAAGGAUCUGACAAGGUCUCAGCCGACCUAACACAGAGCUCCAGAGCAAAGAUUUCCCACUGCACAGCUGGUAUCACGCACUGAUCAGUCACUGGCUGGGCACUGCUGGGGAAGAGUGUUGCCUCAGCUCAAAAGCAGAAUCGGAUCCUGAAGGACCUAAUGACUAGAAACUUCCAGCUGACUACACUCUGCAACUGACUGAGAAUCAAAGAAAAAGAUUAAGAAGCCCUUGGAUCAGAAGAGACUACAUACAUAUGACAACUAAAUGCAAUAUGCAAUUCUGCAUUGAAUUGGAUCCCGUUGAGGAAGAGGACAUCAGUGAAAUAAUAGAUGGCACAUUGCAUAAAGAAACGCGAACCCAGCAGCACUCCUGCCAGCGGCAAUUCUGAGUGCUCAUUUCCACUUUGCCAAGACAUUACAUGGGAAGGCAUGUGCGUUUAAGGGCAUCCAAUUGUUUCUGUAUCAGAACAGCAGCAACAUCCCGGGCAGGCCUUUCCUCUGGAGUUCACGUGUAGGUCGUACUGACACACAACAUGGCCUAAAUGGACCAUGGAGGAGGAAGGGACCCCAAAUCCAGGCCAAAUGGGAGCAGGGUUGUCCUCAGGAGGACCCCAGCUAGAAGACUUUCUCUGGAACCCACGGUGCCUCUCACUAAAGUGCCCCAACGUUGGCACAACACCUACCGAAUUGUUGUUGCUGACUCUCUAUGCCCAUGAUUCAACCAGAACAACAUUGAUUCGUUAAAAGGUGCAUGAAUAAACUUGACUCUGGAAACAACAACA
rnacentral:lncRNA from 10 species